GGCGCGUGCUACACAUGCAAGUCGAGCGAAGUCGAUUUUGUAGGAAGUUUUCGGUAUGGAAAUCGAAAUUGACUUAGCGGCGGACGGGUGAGUAACGACGUGGGUAAUCUGCCUUAUACAGGGGGAGUAACAGUUAGAAAUGACUGCUAAUACCGCAUAAGCGCACGGGAACGCAUGUUUCUGUGUGAAAAACUCCGGCAGUAUAAGAUGAGCCCGCGUCUGAUUAGCUGGUUGGUGGGGUAACGGGCCGUACCAAGGCGACGAUCAGUAGCCGGCCUGAGAGGGUGAACGGCCACAUUGGGACUGAGACACGGCCCAAACUCCUACGGGAGGCAGCAGUGGGGAAUAUUGCACAAUGGGGGAAACCCGUGAUGCAGCGACGCCGCGUGAGUGAAGAAGUAUUUCGGUAUGUAAAGCUCUAUCAGCAGGGAAGAAAAAGACGGUACCUGACUAAGAAGCCCCGGCUAACUACGUG
rnacentral:rRNA from 1 species